rnacentral:rRNA from 1 species
CCUACGGUAGACAGCAGUGGGGAAUAUUGCACAAUGGGGGAAACCCUGAUGCAGCGACGCCGCGUGAGUGAAGAAGUAUUUCGGUAUGUAAAGCUCUAUCAGCAGGGAAGAAAAUGACGGUACCUGAUUAAGAAGCCCCGGCUAACUACUUGCCAGCAGCCGCGGUAAUACGUAGGGGGCAAGCGUUAACCGGAUUUACUGGGUGUAAAGGGCACGUAGACGGCAGCACAAGUCUGGAGUGAAAUGCCUGGGCUUAACCCCGGAACUGCUUUGGAAACUGUGCAGCUAGAGUGCAGGAGAGGUAAGUGGAAUUCCUCGUGUAGCGGUGAAAUGCGUAGAUAUUAGGAGGAACACCAGUGGCGAAGGCGGCUGACUGGAAUGUAACUGACGUUGAGGCUCGAAAGCGUGGGGAGCAAACAGGAUUAGAUACCCUUGUAGUC